UACGAGGGGGGCAAGCGUUGUUCGGAAUUAUUGGGCGUAAAGGGUGCGUAGGCGGUCUGACAAGUCGGAUGUGAAAUCUAUGGGCUCAACCCAUAGUCUGCAUCGGAAACUGUCGGGCUUGAGUAUGGGAGAGGUGAGUGGAAUUUCCGGUGUAGCGGUGAAAUGCGUAGAUAUCGGAAGGAACACCUGUGGCGAAAGCGGCUCACUGGACCAUUACUGACGCUGAGGCACGAAAGCUAGGGGAGCAAACAGG
rnacentral:rRNA from 1 species